GCGUUGUUCGGAAUUACUGGGCGUAAAGGGCUCGUAGGCGGCCAACUCAGUCAGACGUGAAAUCCCCAGGCUUAACCUGGGAACUGCGUCUGAUACUGGAUGGCUUGAAUUCGGGAGAGGGAUGCAGAAUUCCAGGUGUAGCGGUGAAAUGCGCAGAUAUCAGGAGGAACACCGGUGGCGAAGGCGGGUCUCUGGGCCGUAACUGACGCUGAGGAGCGAAAGCGUGGGGAGCGAACAGG
rnacentral:rRNA from 1 species